rnacentral:sRNA from 1 species
GACAAAGCAGUUCCAAUUCCAGAGAAAAUGAGUGAAUGGGCACCUCGACCUCCCCCAGAAUUUGUCCGAGAUGUCAUGGGUUCAAGUGCUGGGGCCGGCAGUGGAGAGUUCCACGUGUACAGACAUCUGCGCCGGAGAGAAUACCAGCGACAGGACUACAUGGAUGCCAUGGCUGAGAAGCAAAAAUUGGAUGCAGAGUUUCAGAAAA